UUCUCUGUAGCUCAGUUGGUAGAGCAUGAUAUUCUUAAUCUCAGGGUUGUGUGUUCGAGCCCCAUGUUGGGGAAA
rnacentral:tRNA from 1 species